rnacentral:rRNA from 1 species
UACGUAGGAGGCGAGCGUUGUCCGGAAUCACUGGGUGUAAAGCGCGUGUAGGCGGCCUGCCAAGUCUGUCGUGAAAGGGCCCGGCUUAACCGGGUCAGGUCGAUGGAAACUGGCGGGCUGGAGGCCGGUAGAGGUGAGUGGAAUUCCCGGUGUAGUGGUGAAAUGCGUAGAGAUCGGGAGGAACACCAGUGGCGAAGGCGGCUCACUGGGCCGAGCCUGACGCUGAGACGCGAAAAGCGUGGGUAGCAAACGAGG